rnacentral:lncRNA from 1 species
GCUAUACAGAGAAACCCUGUCUUAAAAAAUAUAGCAAAAAAAAAAAAAAAAAAAAAAAAAAAAAAAAAAGGAAGAGAGAGAGAGAGGGAGAGAGAGAGAGAAAAACAAGUUAAACUGGGCUGGCUGUUCUGUUUCCCUGUGACACUGGGCUGCUGUCACAGAAGGAGAUACAGAGAGUCACCCAAGACAUACCUAUAAACAGGUAGAGUUUUAGUUUAUUGAUUUAUUACUUUGGGGGAGUAUGGGUGUGGCCAAGUGAGUGAAGGUGCCCUCCAAAGCCAGAGAGAGUCAGAUACCCUAGAAUUGUAGUUACAGAGGUUGGGGGCUACCUGAUGUGGGUGUUAGGAAUCAAACCCAGGACCUUUGUAAAAAGCAAUAUGUGCUCUUCACUGCUGAGCCAUCUCUACAGGUUCUGGCAGGUUUCUCGUGGAUGCCAUUUUUAUGAUAUUCUUGAUAAUUUCAUAAUUAGAAGAAAAAGAAAUAUUUUAAAAAAUCAGGGUGGGGUUGGAGAGAACUGACCUAACAAGGUGUCCUCAGACCUCUACACAUACACAAAUCUCUCUGUCUCUGUCUUUGUAUCUCUGUCUCUGUCUCUCUCUCUCUCUCUCAAUGUAACCUUUUAAAAGAAGAGAGAGAAUUGAUUUAAAAAAAAUGCUACAGUUGACAGUAGUCAUGAAGCAGGCUUGUGAACCCAGCACUCCAAGCACCAAGGCAGGAGGAUCGUGAGUUUGAGGCUAGCCUGGGCUACAUAGGAAGCUUCUUUCUGGAGAGAGGGUGUAAGAGAAAGUACUAAUGCAUUACACAGCCAGGCUCCUGGGUACAGUGGCAGACCUUGUCCCUGCCCCACACCAAGGGCAGCGAUUCCUGCCAAUCACAGUAUAAACUGGCUAUUUGAUUGGCCUUGGCAAAACCUAGACAUCAUAGUUUGAUUUCUUAAUUUGCCCUUAUUUUGUAAAUAAAACCAGUAUAUAAAGAGUGUAGAAAGUGAAAAGAUGAAAACAAAACCUCCUGUCUCCUCUGUUUGCUAAAUUUACCAUAUGGUGUUGUAGUUCAGACAGUCUUUGCAUUAAAGCAAACAAAUUCACUUGUUAAUAAAAUUUGUCAUAUUUAGAUUGUUUAUUUUAUUUUAGAGAGACAGGGUGUCACAAAGUGAAGACACACUGUCCAGAAAGUCAUUGUUCUGGCCUCUAACUCAUGGCAAUCCUCCUGCCUUAGAUUUUUGAGUGUUGAUGUUGUACAUAUAAGUGAUUGCUUGUAGCGAUUUAGACUUGUGUGGUGCUCAAGUGUCUGGAUUGUCUGGAUUGAUGUAUGCGUGCAUGUGUGGAGGCCAGAGGCCAACCCUGGGUGUCAUUCUUCAGAUUCAGUAUACAGAGAGAGAGAGAGAGAGAGAGAGAGAGAGAGAGAGAGAGAGAGAAAGAGAGAGACAGAGACAGAGAGAGGCAGAGACAGAGACAGAGACAGAGACAGAGACAGAGACAGAGGCACAGAGAGGCAGGAGGCAGAGAGGCAGAGAGGCAGAGAACGAGAACGUUUCUUACUGGCCUGGAAGUAAGCUAGGCUGGCUGGAUAAUGAACCUCAGAGCUCCACCCUUCCUCAGGGCUAGGAUUACAAGCAUGAGCCAUCAUGUUUAGCUUUUUAUGUGGACCCUGGGGUUCAAAUUCAAGUCCUCGAGUUUAUAAGGCAAGUGCCUUACCUGAGCCAUCUCCCCAGCCCAGGCCUGUGGGACUUCUAGAAACUUCUGUUGCACAUUGUUCCAAAUCCUGUGUUGUUGAUUUUUUUUUUUAGUUUGUUUGUUUGCUUCUUUAUUUUUUUAAACUAUUUUAAAUAUUUAAAUAUUUAUUUAUUUAUUUAUUUAAAUUGUACUAUUUGUCAUGUUCUCUUAAGUUCCUAAAGUUAAAUAAGACCAGCAUUAGUGUUGGGGUCCACUUAUAAUUUGCUCAUACAGCUGUCUCGGCCCUGAUCCCACCCCCUACCCCUACUCCACUAAGAUGACGUUAAACCUGAGAUCCAUGCGAACCCAUGUGUUCUAUCUGAACAUUCCUUUAAGGCUGGGGAGAUGGUUCCAUUGGUAAAGUGAUUGCCUGAGUUUGAUCCCCAGAACUCACAGAAAC